rnacentral:rRNA from 1 species
AUUGAACGCUGGCGGCAGGCCUAACACAUGCAAGUCGAACGAGUGGCGGACGGGUGAGUAAUGUCUGGGAAACUGCCUGAUGGAGGGGGCUAACUACUGGAAACGUUAGCUAAUACCGCAUACCCUCAGAUGUGCCCAGAUGGGAUUAGCUUGGUGGUGGGGUAACGGCUAACCAAGGCGACGAUCCCUAGCUGGUCUGAGAGGAUGAACAGCCACACGUGAACUGAGACACGGUCCAGACUCCUACGGGAGGCAGCAGUGGGGAAUAUUGGACAAUGGACGCAAGCCUGAUAGAGCAAUGCCGCGUGAAUGAAGAAGGCCGUCGGGUUGUAAAAUACUUUCAGUAGGGAAGCGGUACCCGCAGAAGAAGCAACGGCUAACUCCGUGCCAGCAGCCGCGGUAAUAC